rnacentral:sRNA from 1 species
CCAAUUUCAAAAUGACGUCGUUUUGCUUUUAACGGUAAAUGCUAACAAAAAAUUAAUCCUGUUAUUUUUUUGUUAACGGAAACUUAACGACAUGCUUAAAAUGGCAAAGUCAACAAAACUUGACUAUUUUAUCAAAAGUCAAGCAAAACUUUACAAUUUUAUUGGCAGUUUGGAAGUUCACGUUUUUUUCGUCCCAAAUUUGAAAGUUCAUGCUUUUUUUGACAUUUUUCCAUUUUAUAUUCUCACGAGUUUCAUCAAAGAAAAGUCUAAGUUUUCUUUCAAGUAAGUGUGCGAACAUUAAU